CAGUAGCCGCGGUAAUACGAAGGGGGCUAGCGUUGUUCGGAAUUACUGGGCGUAAAGGGCGCGUAGGCGGCCAUUCAAGUUAGAUGUGAAAGCCCUGGGCUCAACCUAGGAAUUGCAUUUGAUACUGUUUGGCUUGAGUUCGGGAGAGGUGAGUGGAAUUCCCAGUGUAGAGGUGAAAUUCGUAGAUAUUGGGAAGAACACCAGUGGCGAAGGCGGCUCACUGGACCGACACUGACGCUGAGGCGCGAAAGCGUGGGGAGCAAACAGGAUUAGAUACCCCUGUAGUCCCUGUCUCUUAUAC
rnacentral:rRNA from 1 species